rnacentral:rRNA from 1 species
GGGUUGUGAGGUUAAGCGAAUAAGCGUACACGGUGGAUGCCUAGGCAAUCAGAGGCGAUGAAGGACGUGCUAAUCUGCGAAAAGCGUCGGUAAGGUGAUAUGAACCGUUAUACCCGACGAUAUCCGAAUGGGGAAACCCAGUAUCCAAUGGAUACUAUCAUUAACUGAAUCCAUAGGUUAAUGAGGCGAACCGGGAGAACUGAAACAUCUCAGUACCCCGAGGAAAAGAAAUCAACCGAGAUUCCCCUAGUAGCGGCGAGCGAACGGGGAGCAGCCCAGAGUCUUAAUCAAUAGCAGUGUCAGGAGAACGGUCUGGAAAGUCCGGCAGUAAAGGGUGAUAGCCCCGUAUCUGAAGAUGCUGUUAUUGUGAACUCGACGAGUAGGGCGGGACACGUGUUAUCCUGUCUGAAUAUGGGGGGACCAUCCUCCAAGGCUAAAUACUCCUGAUUGACCGAUAGUGAACCAGUACCGUGAGGGAAAGGCGAAAAGAACCCCGGCGAGGGGAGUGAAAAAGAACCUGAAACCGUGUACGUACAAGCAGUAGGAGCCUCUUUAUGGGGUGACUGCGUACCUUUUGUAUAAUGGGUCAGCGACUUAUAUUCUGUAGCAAGGUUAACCGUAUAGGGGAGCCGUAGGGAAACCGAGUCUUAACUGGGCGAAUGAGUUGCAGGGUAUAGACCCGAAACCCGGUGAUCUAUCCAUGGGCAGGUUGAAGGUUGGGUAACACUAACUGGAGGACCGAACCGACUAAUGUUGAAAAAUUAGCGGAUGACUUGUGGAUGGGGGUGAAAGGCCAAUCAAACCGGGAGAUAGCUGGUUCUCCCCGAAAGCUAUUUAGGUAGCGCCUCGUGAACUCAUCUUCGGGGGUAGAGCACUGUUUCGACUAGGGGGUCAUCCCGACUUACCAACUCGAUGCAAACUGCGAAUACCGAAGAAUGUUAUCACGGGAGACACACGGCGGGUGCUAACGUCCGUCGUGAAGAGGGAAACAACCCAGACCGCCAGCUAAGGUCCCAAAGUCAUGGUUAAGUGGGAAACGAAGUGGGAAGGCUCAGACAGCCAGGAUGUUGGCUUAGAAGCAGCCAUCAUUUAAAGAAAGCGUAAUAGCUCACUGGUCGAGUCGGCCCGCGCGGAAGAUGUAACGGGGCUAAACCAUGCACCGAAGCUGCGGCAGCGACACAUAGUGUUGUUGGGUAGGGGAGCGUUCUGUAAGCCUGCGAAGGUGUACUGUGAGGUAUGCUGGAGGUAUCAGAAGUGCGAAUGCUGACAUAAGUAACGAUAAUGCGGGUGAAAAACCCGCACGCCGGAAGACCAAGGGUUCCUGUCCAACGUUAAUCGGGGCAGGGUGAGUCGACCCCUAAGGCGAGGCUGAAAAGCGUAGUCGAUGGGAAACGGGUUAAUAUUCCCGUACUGGUGGUAACUGCGAUGGGGGAACGGAGAAGGCUAGGUUGUCCGGGCGACGGUCGUCCCGGUUCAAGCAGGUAGGCAGAGUGAUUAGGCAAAUCCGGUCACUUAAUGCUGAGAUGUGAUGACGAACCACCAAGGUGGUGAAGCAAUUGAUGCCCCGCUUCCAGGAAAAGCCUCUAAGCUUCAGGUUACCAACAAUCGUACCCCAAACCGACACAGGUGGUCAGGUAGAGAAUACUCAGGCGCUUGAGAGAACUCGGGUGAAGGAACUAGGCAAAAUGGUGCCGUAACUUCGGGAGAAGGCACGCUGGCGGUAGGUAAAGUCCCUCGCGGACGGCGCCCAAGCCAGUCGAAGAUACCAGCUGGCUGCAACUGUUUAUUAAAAACACAGCACUGUGCAAACACGAAAGUGGACGUAUACGGUGUGACGCCUGCCCGGUGCUGGAAGGUUAAUUGAUGGGGUUAGCGCAAGCGAAGCUCCUGAUCGAAGCCCCAGUAAACGGCGGCCGUAACUAUAACGGUCCUAAGGUAGCGAAAUUCCUUGUCGGGUAAGUUCCGACCUGCACGAAUGGCGUAAUGAUGGCCAGGCUGUCUCCACCCGAGACUCAGUGAAAUUGAACUCGCUGUGAAGAUGCAGUGUACCCGCGGCAAGACGGAAAGACCCCGUGAACCUUUACUAUAGCUUGACACUGAACAUUGAGCCUUGAUGUGUAGGAUAGGUGGGAGGCUUUGAAGUGUGGACGCCAGUCUGCAUGGAGCCAACCUUGAAAUACCACCCUUUAACGUUUGAUGUUCUAACCUAGGCCCAUAAACUGGGUCGGGGACCGUGUCUGGUGGGUAGUUUGACUGGGGCGGUCUCCUCCUAAAGAGUAACGGAGGAGCACGAAGGUUGGCUAAGCAUGGUCGGACAUCAUGCGGUUAGUGCAAAGGCAUAAGCCAGCUUGACUGCGAGAGUGACGGCUCGAGCAGGUACGAAAGUAGGUCUUAGUGAUCCGGUGGUUCUGAAUGGAAGGGCCAUCGCUCAACGGAUAAAAGGUACUCCGGGGAUAACAGGCUGAUACCGCCCAAGAGUUCAUAUCGACGGCGGUGUUUGGCACCUCGAUGUCGGCUCAUCACAUCCUGGGGCUGAAGUAGGUCCCAAGGGUAUGGCUGUUCGCCAUUUAAAGUGGUACGCGAGCUGGGUUUAGAACGUCGUGAGACAGUUCGGUCCCUAUCUGCCGUGGGCGUUGGAAGAUUGAGAGGGGUUGCUCCUAGUACGAGAGGACCGGAGUGAACGCACCACUGGUGUUCGGGUUGUCAUGCCAAUGGCAUUGCCCGGUAGCUAAGUGCGGAAGAGAUAACCGCUGAAAGCAUCUAAGCGGGAAACUUGCCUCGAGAUGAGUCUUCCCUGUCGCUUUAAGCGACCUAAAGGAACGUUUAAGACUAAGACGUUGAUAGGCUGGGUGUGUAAGCGUAGCGAUACGUUGAGCUAACCAGUACUAAUGAACCGUGAGGCUUAACCUGACAACACCGAAAGUGUUUUG